AGCUUUUUGUAUAUAUAAAAGGUGAUUUCUGCUCAAUGAAAGUUAAAUAGCCAUAGUAUUUAUGACUAUGCAAAGGUAGCAUAAUCAUUUGUCUUAUAAAUUAAGACUGGAAUGAAUGGGGUAAUGGGGCAAUGCUUUCUUAAAUUAAAGUUUAAAAAUAAUUUUUUUAGUGAAGAAACUAAAAUGUUAAUGAGGGACGAGAAGACCCUAUUAAGCUUGAUAUACUUAUUUUGUUGGGGAAACAGAAGAAGAAAUCUUCUUCAAAUAAAAUUUUUGAUAAAAUUUGAUUUAUUUUUAAUAAUAAUAGAAUAAGUUACUAUAGGGAUAACAGCAUAAUUUUUUUUAUAAGUUCAUAUUUGCAAAGAAGAUUAUGACCUCGAUGUUGGAUUAAAAAUAUUAUAUGAUGUAGUUGUUGUAUAAAUUAGUCUGUUCGACUAUUAAAUUUUUACA
rnacentral:rRNA from 1 species